UACGUAGGGUGCAAGCGUUGUCCGGAAUUAUUGGGCGUAAAGAGCUCGUAGGCGGUCUGUCACGUCGGCUGUGAAAACCCGAGGCUCAACCUCGGGCCUGCAGUCGAUACGGGCAAACUAGAGUACUGCAGGGGAGACUGGAAUUCCUGGUGUAGCGGUGAAAUGCGCAGAUAUCAGGAGGAACACCGGUGGCGAAGGCGGGUCUCUGGGCAGUAACUGACGCUGAGGAGCGAAAGCGUGGGGAGCGAACAGGAUUAGAUACCCUGGUAGUCCACGCCGUAAACGUUGGGCGCUAGGUGUGGGGGCCAUUCCACGGUCUCCGUGCCGCAGCUAACGCAUUAAGCGCCCCGCCUGGGGAGUACGGCCGCAAGGCUAAA
rnacentral:rRNA from 1 species